rnacentral:rRNA from 1 species
GCGAAAACUUUACAAUGCUGGCAACAGCGAUAAGGGAACCUCGAGUGCCAGGUUACAAAUCUGGCUGUCGAGAUGCCUAAAAAGCAUUUCAUAGCAAGGGCCGGGCAAGACCGGUGCCAGCCGCCGCGGUAACACCGGCGGCUCGAGUGGUAACCGUUAUUAUUGGGUCUAAAGGGUCUGUAGCCGGCCGGAUAAGUCUCUUGAGGAAUCUGGCAGCUUAACUGUCAGGCUUUCAGGAGAUACUGUCUGGCUCGAGGCCGGGAGAGGUGAGAGGUACUUCAGGGGUAGGGGUGAAAUCUUGUAAUCUUUGAAGGACCACCAGUGGCGAAGGCGUCUCACCAGAACGGACCUGACGGCAAGGGACGAAAGCUAGGGGCACGAACC